rnacentral:rRNA from 1 species
AACGAACGCUGGCGGCAGGCUUAACACAUGCAAGUCGAACGCCCCGCAAGGGGAGUGGCAGACGGGUGAGUAACGCGUGGGAACAUACCCUUUUCUACGGAAUAGCUCUGGGAAACUGGAAUUAAUACCGUAUACGCCCUACGGGGGAAAGAUUUAUCGGGGAAGGAUUGGCCCGCGUUGGAUUAGCUAGUUGGUGGGGUAAAGGCCUACCAAGGCGACGAUCCAUAGCUGGUCUGAGAGGAUGAUCAGCCACAUUGGGACUGAGACACGGCCCAAACUCCUACGGGAGGCAGCAGUGGGGAAUAUUGGACAAUGGGCGCAAGCCUGAGCCAGCCAUGCCGCGUGAGUGAUGAAGGCCUUAGGGUUGUAAAGCUCUUUCACCGAUGAAGAUAAUGACGGUAGUCGGAGAAGAAGCCCCGGCUAACUUCGUG